rnacentral:rRNA from 1 species
UACGAAGGGGGCUAGCGUUGCUCGGAAUCACUGGGCGUAAAGGGUGCGUAGGCGGGGCUUUAAGUCAGGGGGGAAAUCCUGGAGCUCAACUCCAGAACUGCCUUUGAUACUGAAGAUCUUGAGUUCGGGAGAGGUGGGUGGAACUGCGAGUGUAGAGGUGAAAUUCGUAGAUAUUCGCAAGAACACCAGUGGCGAAGGCGGCUCACUGGCCCGAUACUGACGCUGAGGCCCGAAAGCGUGGGGAGCAAACAGG